GGAUGAAAAGGUGGGCUGCGUAUGAUGAAGCGAGCAAAAAUACUUUGAAGUAAACUAAUUGUUCGCUGUGCAGAAAUUGACUGUGUCGGUAUGACUUCUGGCCAUUUGGAGUAAGCGUCCACCAGAACGAAAAAAUAUUCUCUAUUUAAUGGACCAGCAUAAUCAAUAUGCACUCUCUGCCAAGGUGCUGCUGGCUGAGUCCAACUACAUAAAGGAACCUUAACAGGAGCCUUUGCGGAUGACCCUUGUGAAUCUGUCGAAGAACCUGUGUAC